rnacentral:rRNA from 1 species
UCCUACGGGAGGCAGCAGUGGGGAAUAUUGGACAAUGGGCGAAAGCCUGAUCCAGCAAUGCCGCGUGAGUGAUGAAGGCCUUAGGGUUGUAAAGCUCUUUUACCAGGGAUGAUAAUGACAGUACCUGGAGAAUAAGCUCCGGCUAACUCCGUGCCAGCAGCCGCGGUAAUACGGAGGGAGCUAGCGUUGUUCGGAAUUACUGGGCGUAAAGCGUACGUAGGCGGUUAUUCAAGUCAGGGGUGAAAGCCUGGAGCUCAACUCCAGAACUGCCCUUGAAACUAGAUAACUAGAAUCUUGGAGAGGUGAGUGGAAUUCCGAGUGUAGAGGUGAAAUUCGUAGAUAUUCGGAAGAACACCAGUGGCGAAGGCGACUCACUGGACAAGUAUUGACGCUGAGGUACGAAAGCGUGGGGAGCAAACAGGAUUAGAUACCCCGGUAGUCC